CUUUUGGCCGAGCCAUACGGUGUGUGGGAUCUUAGUUCCCUGACCAGGGAUUGAACCCACGGCCCCUGCAUUGGAAGCAUAGAGUGUUAACUACGGGGACACCAGGGAAGUCCCUCUUCUUCCUUCCUUUUAAUGGGACUCCAGCUCUGAGGCCUGCUUCCUCCACGCAAGCGUCAGUUUUCUGAGGACAGGCACCAGCUCUGCCUGAUCACCACUGUGUCCCGCCGUGAGCCAGCCAGUGACCUCCAAGAAGCGGCCUGGACAUUUCUGCUGUGUGGAUUCCUCCUAGGAAGGGAUCUGAGAGGAACCCCUGGGUCUCCCCGCACCAUCCCCACCCCUCCUGCAGUCCCAGCCUCAGAAGAUCCUGCCUCUGAGUCCUCAUAGCUGUGGGGUGGCCCUGGGUGUGAUGUUGUAAUGAAUCACUGGCCAGAAUCCAGUCCUGAUUAUCUCUGGGCUGUGCCUGGCCUACUUGACAUCGAGGGGGCUGGGACCACAGGCCACCGUAUCAGGCGCCCCAGCCAUCCCACUGGGCCUCUGGCCGCAGAUAACUGCACAGGCCCUGCUGGCCUCACCUCAGCUGAGGCACCUGCACCAGGGACAUGCUAGGUGGCCUCGGGCAAGUCCCCGCCUUCCUCUGGGUUCCCAAGUCACGGGGGGUGGGGUCCUGCCCCAUAGAAGAGAGUGGCGGGUGCAGGGGACGUGGAGUCUGUGGCUGGGAGACCUUGGAUGUGAUAGAAGUGACUUCUCAAGGAGAGUGAAAUAGGAAAGGGCUGACACAUGAUGAGAUUCCCAUGUGUCCCCCAUGGGGGCAGGGACAGUCCGGGGUGACUGACAGCCCAAAGGAACCCUGGAUGCCCCAGGUUUACAGUGUCCUGAGGCCCAUUGAAGUGGAGGCAGAAUGUGCUGGCAAGUGAGGCUCUGAGCUACUUCUUGGGCACUGAUCCCACGAUGGCCUCAGUUUCCUCCUUGUAAAGCAGGGACCGUAAGAGUUUCCACUUCACAGGGACGUGCUUACAUGGGAUACUGUCUGUGAGGCACUUGGAACCGUGCCUGACGGUGGGAAGCAAUCAAUAAGGACCGUUACUGCCACCCCCGAAGUCUUGCCUUUUCCGGUCCCCACUGCUCAGGGGUUCCCACCCCCACACCGUUCAGCCUGGACGAUCGCUCUCCUGCUCCGUCUCACCCCUACAUCUCCUCUCCACGCGCGCUGCCCGAUGGAGCCUUAGGAAACAUAAGCAGGAUCCCCAUGCAGCAACUUCACUCAACAGUCUGCGUGGUUCCCACUGCCCUCAGAAUAAGGCUUAGCCUCCUAAUCACAGCCCGAAGGUGCUGCCUGACGUUCCCCGCCAGGCUCCUGCCACUCUCCCUCUCAGGCGCUCUGCCGGAGCGCUUUCCUCCCUGCCCCCUGCGGGUCUCGUCUCCGUGGAUCUCUCCUUGCAGCCAUCAUUAUGGCCAUAUGGUCACACUCGCUCAGUCGAUGACUCAGUGGAGGUCUAGUCCCUGCUCCGGAAUGCGAGGCAGGAACCAUGUCAGUUCUGUUUCCAGCUCUAUUGCCGUGCCCAGCACAGGGCUUGACACACACCAGGUGUAACAUAAAGAUUUGUCGAAUGCGUGGAUGAAGAAUGGUUUGGUGAGCCGGAGGUUGGGGUGGGCUGGACGUCACUGAAAGCUCAGGUUCUUCCCACCUCGUGGUUCUGUCCUCUCUUCUCAGCCCCUUUCUUUAUAGCUCCAUGAUGGCUGCCAAAUCUCCUGCCAUCUCUUCCUCACGUGGCUAUGGUCAAGGCAGGCAAAGGCCUUCAUAUGUCCUCCUAAGAAUGAAGAAAUUGUUCCCAGACAUCCUUUGGCAGAAUUCCCCAUCUCACUGGCCACAGAUACACUCCAUGUCUAACCUCAGCCAAUCAGUGCAAGGGGAGAGAGAGGGCCACGUUUGGCUGGGGCCAAUUAGCAUUCGCCCCCCAGGGCACUGUGGGCAGAGUCUGCCCUUGACUUAUAAGAGAGAAUCCAGCUGGGGCCAGGUCUGGGGCCAGGGCUGUGGACCCUGAACUGGGGACAUUCUGAGCACCACUGAGGCUGUGGGUCCCCCACCCUGCCUUCCUUCUCUAGGGAACCCUUGGGUGGUGUCUGUGAGAGGAAAGGUACGGCUGGGUGAGGGUGUCAGGCAAAUUAGAUGGCCAGAGGCCUUCUCCUCAAUAAAUAUUGAUAGAGCCAGAAAUGGAGCGGAGGUGGGCGGGCCCAGAGCGAAUGUAGGGAAGAGGGAGCCUGGGCCAGAGAUACUGAGGGAGAGCCAGAGAGAAACGAUGGAGAGGUGGAGACACUGAGCGAGAGACAGAGAGACAUGGGGAAGAGACAGAGACAUGGGGGAGAGACAGAGACAUGGGGAAGAGACAGGGAGAUAUGAGGGAGAGAUAGAGACAUGGGGGAGAGACAGAGACAGAGGGAGAGACAGAGAGACAGAGGGAGAGACAGAGAGACGGGGGAGACAGAGAUAGAGGGAGAGAUAGAUAUGAGGGAGAGACAGAGAGACAGGGGGAGAGACAGAGACAUAGGGGACAGACAGAGACAUGGGGGAGAGACAGAGAGACAGAGGGAGAGACAGAGAGACAGAGGGAGAGACAGAGACACUGAGGGAGAGACAGAGGAAAGAGAAAGGCAGGGAGACACAGAAGGGGAGAGAAACAAAGAGAGACUUCGCAGGAAGGCUUCUGCGUCAGCGCCUUAGCAGGCAGAGGCCCUGUCAUGGUGGAGCAGCAUCUCUGCCCCUUCUCCUUGCACUGCUGUCCUGGGCCAGUCGUGUGCCAGCCUAAGCUUUGGUGUCCUCCUCUGCUGGAUGGGGUAAACGACCCCUUUCCAUAGGACUGCUCAGCAGGCCCAGCACACCGGGAUUAUCAUUGCCUCAGUGGCCUCUUUUGGCCUGUAAGUGGCCUGGAAUGGUUGGGAAUUCUUGCCCCAGGGGACAGGGGGGAUGUGCCCAGGGUCACAGCAAGAGGGCAGGAGGGAUCUUGGCCAUGAUUCUAAAGCCUGUGCCCUGUCUGUGCCCCGCAGGGCUGAAUGGAGCAGGGAGGAGGGGCAUCCCAGCUGCUGGGCACUCUGAAGGGUGGUGCUCACAGCAGUCCUGGUGAUAAAGCCAAUGGCCCCUGUGCUCUCAGGGUGGCCCAAGUACUGGACACCAACCCGCUGAGGGCAAAGCUGCUCGAUUCUACUCAUUUUGUACUUCCUAGUAUGCUGAUGAGGAAACAGCCUCAGAGACCCGCAGUGACUUCCUAAGACAGAGCCGGGGUUUGGACUCAGACAGACCUGGGUCUGAGUCCCUGCUCCUCACAGGCUGGCUGACCUGGGGGCAGCACCUCCUUUCUCUCAGCCUCAGUUUCCCCAUUUAUAAAAUAGGAAAACAGCAGUUUAAAAGAUUUAAAAGACAUGAGGAUUAAAUGAGAUGAUGUAGAGAAAACGCCUAAGCAUGGGUCCUGGUACACAGUCAAUGUUCAAUAAAGGUUAAAUGGUAGGUUGGGUAAUAGUUUUAAAGUAAUUUGAAAACAAUCCCUUUAAUUGCUCUCCUUUUUACAGAGGAAGAGCUGAGGUCCAGAGAGGGGAAGUGACUUGCCCAAGGUCCCCGGCCAAGUGGAUGAGCUGAGAUUGGAAUCUCGUGAUCCAGAGGCCAGAGCUUGCUGCCGGCACUUCGUGGCGCCGUGAUGGCUCAGCUCUGGACUGCCUGUUGGAGUGUCAGUCCCUGUGGGUCAAGGAGAUGCCCGUGGCUUGGUCCCAUGUCCCUCUGGCUUGGCAUUAGUCGUAUCACCCGUUGGGAUGGUUGCAAAAUCCCACUCUCUUUAGCAGUCGAUAAAGAGCGCCCAUUGCAAAACUCUCAGCGGCAAAAUUAUUAAAUGUUGUGUCACCCUGCGGCCAGGCCCUGGGUGCCCCUUUCCUGCCUGGAGGCCUGGGUGGAGCCGAGUUUUCACUCUCUCCCUCCUGUCCUGACCCAGCAGAGGCUGGGGUGGGCUGGGAGUCAGCAGGGGGCUUUCAGGGAGUGGGCAGAGGGCACACCUGGGCCCUGGGCCCACCCACAGCUCUCCACUUUCAGGAAAUGACGGCUCCACCCUUCCAGGUGCUCAGGCUCAAACCUUGGGGUCACUCGAUCCACCUCUUGUCCCACAUCCGAUAGUUGGUAGGAGAUUCUGUCAGCCCUACCCUUGAAAUACAUCCAGACCCAACCAGGUUGCCCCCCUUCACUUCCACACCUGGAUUCAAAGUACCUCGUUGCUGAUCUCGCCAUUUUCCACACAGCCCAAAGGGUCCUGCUAAACCCAGGUGGAUCCUAAGUCAGAUCUUGUCCUUCUGCUUAGAACCCUCCGUGGCUCAUGUCCAGAACACAAGCCAAAGUCUUCCCAAGGCCCACAGGGCCCUGCCUCAUCUGGCCCCAUUGCCUUUCUGACCUCCUCAUCACUACUCUCUCUUCCUAGCUCACUUUUCUCCACUCCGAUUGCCUCCUUGCGAGCUCUCCAACACACCAGAUGUGGUCUCCUCCCAGGGCUUUGCCUUGCUGUUCCAUGUGUCUGGAGCGCUCUUCCCCCAGCUCUGCCGCAUAGCUGGAUCCCGCGCGUCAUUCAGACCUCAUCUCAAUGUCACUGCCUCCAGGACGCCUUCCCUGGCUACCCUGCUGAAGCGUCACCUCCAGUAUCACCCUCAGCCCUUCUUUCUUCCUGACUUGCCAUCAUAUUACAUAUUUGUUUAUUUGUUUAAUAUGUGUCUCCUUCCUCAGGGCAGGGACUGUUGUCUGUUCUGUUCACAGUCCUUCCCUGGUGCUCAGCCCAGGCCUGGCCCAUAGCGCGUGUGUGCGUGUGUGCGCAGUCAUGUCUGACUGUUUGUGACCCCAUGGACUGCAGCCCACCAGCCUCCUCUGUCCACGUCUCUUCUUGUCCUCCUUCUCCAGGCAAGAAUACCAGGGUGGGCUGCCAUUUCCUCCUCCAGGGCAUCUUCCCGAUGCAGGGAUCGAAACUGCAUCUCCUGCAUUGGUGGGCAGACUGUUUACCACUGAGCCACCUGGGAAGCUCCUGGCACACAGUAGGUGUGCCACAAAGUUUUGCUGAAUCAGGGCAUGAGUGGGCAGGAAGGGCCAUGUCGGCCUAGAUUACACCUCAGUGAACCUCACCAGGGCCAGUGAACGUGCUUUGCCCUCUUCAGCUUGUAUUUGGAGACAUUUUCCUGGCCAGCCUGUCAGAUGGUCCCUCGACUGCCCGACUCCCCCGAGGGCCCCCUAUCCAGCUCCCUGACAGCACUCACCAUGAACUUGACUUGUUUUGUUUGUGUCUAUAUCUACUCUCAGCCCUCCUUCCCCCAGCCUCGGAGCUCUGUGACAACAGACCCACGGCUGCCUUGGUUCUCCCGCUGCUCCCCAGUGCCCAGCAAGGAGUCUGGCACCCUGUGGGAUGUGUCAGGGCCUGGCUGAUCCAGAUUUGUGUUACAAACCCGCCAGCAGAGCCCACUGGCCAGGAAGGAGUUAAGCGGAGACACGGUGCCCGGACCUGCAAAGUCAGGGAGAGAAGGGGGCCCGCUGGGGCCUUAAUUAUAACACGUCUGUCCCAUAAUGACACGGUGUUAUAAACGGCACACAAAGUGUACUAAUCUGAUAUUAUAUCUGGGCUUUUUACAAUAGAUACAAUCAACCGACUGUAGUUUGCUAACUCAUUCUCGACCUAUCUCCACGCUCCACCUAGAUUAUUAUCAGCUUCCUUAAUUAAGUGGAAGGCAGAGCUCUGCAGGCAAUGCCCACAGCCCCAGCACCACCAAGUCCAGCCCAGCCCUCCCAUAAGCCGGGAUAAUAGCUACUCCCACACGGGGCGAGGCUUCCACCGCCUCCUCCAUCCCAAACCCUUGUCCCAGGCUUGGGCGGGACAGGCCUGUUCAAGGCCUCCUGAACCAAGUGCUAACCACCAAGGGCUCAAGCUGGUGGCCCGUGGGCCUGCUUGGCCUCGAGGCACGUUGGGUUUGGCCCUUGCAGUGCUUUUGCUGAAAGUGAAAAUGAGUUGCCAACCCUGAACAUUAAGGAUGUUGCACAGAAACAUCCACACUUCUGGCUUCCCUUGAGAAACGAGAGGAUCCAGGGGCCCCGGGUUCGUAACUGCUGUGUGUUGGAGCUGAGGAAUGGCUGCCGCCAAGGGCCCUACCCGGCCACAGCCGCCCCCUACCUGUUUCACUUUUGUGUCCCUCCCUGACUCUUGUGGGCAGCUGAGUUUGCGACCCAAGCUGUAGGGUUAGAGGUCAGUUACCCAUUUGGAAGACACUGAGGCUCAGAAAGAGUGCGUGACUUAACUAAUAUUGCACGGUGAGCCCAGAACUCAGGUCGCAAUCCUUUACUAAGUCUUUCCUGAGCACCUACUGUAUGCCAGGCCCAGGGACACACACAGCGCGAGUGUGGUAAAUAUCAUCCCGCCUUCUAGAUGUAACACUCUCCUGCUCUCCACGGCCAUAAUGCCAUCUUUAUUGCUGGGUAAUGGUAUCUGUUGGAGACAGGUCCUUUCUCAUCCCCUUGAAGUAGCUGGAAGUAGAUUUUUCAUAGCUGCUGGACUCCAUCUUGGGACAGGAAGUGGAAGCAGCCAUCUUGGAAGGAAACCCUUGGAAGAGUUCCCAUGACAAGGCCGCCCCUACUUUCCAGUCUGGGCUCUCAGAGCGCAGGAGGGGGUGACAGGGUCGGCUGACAGGCAUGGAGGGUGGGAGUGAGGGUGUGUGGUGGGGAAGUGGGCAGAGAAGGCACAGGAGAAUCAGCUAGACAGAAUCGGAGGGCUUGUCCAUCCUGACUGAACCAAAGGUCAAUCAAUCAGGCUUCUCCCACUCCCUUCCAAAAGACAAAAUGUGGAAGGACAAGUCACCAGAAUACCCAAGUUAUGCCACUUGGCGGUCCAGGAAAAAGGCGUUUGCUCAGCCAGCUUGGGAGACAUCACUCCUCCCACCCCAACACCACAGCGCCAGCCCUGGUCAGGAGGAGAAACUGCAGCCAGGAACGUCUAUCCCCAGCCCCUCAGACCCUGCUCGGGUCUCACUGAGCCCAGGGCCAUCAAGGUUAUGGCAGACCUGCUGGCCUCCCAGGAGCCACAUGUGAAGAGCGUUCAGCUGCCCGCACGCUCUGUGGAGUGGUUCCUUACUGACGCGGGGCGGGGGGGAUGAAUAACAGUCCCAGCCAUCAUGUGCGUUUGCUAAAAAUAAACUUGACAUACUUUUGCGUUGGGAAACAAUGUGGAUUCCAAACAUUCUCAAAGGGCAGAGAGGGGAAAAAAGGGAAGAAUGGAAAUCAAGUUUUUGAGCUUAGUAAUUAAUUAGCCUGUAAACAAAUGACUCACGCUCUUUCCUGGCUAUUUUUCUUUCCGUUUUGCGUGGAUUUUCGUAGGGGCAGGGGGAGGGAGGCCAAGUGAACCAAACACAGAAGCAAGACUGGACCCAGAUCCGUCUCCCUGGGGUGCGGGAUGGCAACUGUUGGAGAAGGAGAGGCAGAGCUUCAGGUGGAGGGGACAGCUUGCUGCUCGCGGCAGCUCUGAGAACUGAAAGAGCUUGGCACAUUCCAGGAGCAGGGAGAAGCCUAGUAUGGCUUGAGUGGAGUAAGCAAGGGGGUAAAAUCAGAGAGGUCCCGGGGCCAGAUCAUUUGGACCCCUAUCUGUUGCAUGUGCAGCGUCUAGACUCGACCCUGAAGACGGUGGGAGCCACAGAAACGUUUUGAGCCAAGAAGGAAUAUCAUCUCAUUCAUACAAUGACGUCGUUUAAAAAUUGGGCGAUCAGAAUAAUAAAUUCGAAAUGUUCUCUGUUGUUUGGAUGCUUCUUGUCUUUAGAUUUCCCCAACGAAUACUGAUCCAGUGGUUGUAUUUCCUGAGGGUUCCUAGGGUUAGUGUCUGUCUCUUCUCCAUAGAACACCAGCCCCGUGAUAUCAGAGACUUUCUCGGUCUUGUUUACUUCUGUGCCCCUAGUGCCAAGACCAAGCCUUGGCACACAGUAGGAGCCCAGCAAAUGCUUGUCAAGUGACUGAGCCCUCUCUGCAAGGUCAGCAGUCUCGUUUCAUUUUGUCAAAGGAGGAGCGGAGGGUAGUGAGGGCCCCACAGCCAGCCUGGGAUGGUCCUGGGAAAGGCAUGUUUUAUUUAGUUCAAAAUAAGGAGAAGUUUUAAAGGGAAAAUCACUUCUGUAAGGGACUGGGCUCCCCAGUAAUGGGGGCAUUCAAAUAGGGUGCACACCACCAGCCCCACAGUACCUGUCUCUGAUUUGAGACAGACUUUGUGCCAGCUCACAGAUGUCAUCCGACAAUGAAUGAGGUUGGGGGUGUUGCCCAUUGUGCUGAGAAGUCGAGACCUAGAGAGGAGGUGUGACAUGUCCAAAGCCACACAGUCACAAGCAGGGGAGCCCACACUGGAAUCCAGGUAUGACGACGAAGGCUUUUAACUCCUUUUCUGAGCCGUCAACAUUGGUUGAGUCUCAGCUCCACCACUUAGAUGCUGUGUGACCUGGGGCAAGUCACUUUACCUUUCUGAUCUUCUGUGUCUUGCUACGUUAAAUGGGGGUGUGGAUACCUGCCUUGCAGGGCUGCUGGGUGGAGUUACGGAGGUCUGAGUGGAUAACAGCCACACACGGUGCUCAGAGCUCAUGGACCCCUCCUCUCUCUGCUUGGGUCCUUUUGACUUUGGCCCUCCUCCUGGGCUGUGGACCCCCUCUUCGGUCAGCCACUCCCCAGAGUCUGGUAUCCAGGCACCCACCGCCCACUGGGUGUUGAAUCACCCAUGCCAUGCGCUUCUUGCCUUCUGCCUGCAUUUUCUUCUUCCUCCUUUUCUUGGUAAACCUACUGCCUUGUCUGAUUGCCAAAGGUCCUCUCAGGGAGUGGCGAGCGGGGCAGGGAGACCCCUUCAUCCCACGAAUGUUUCCGCUGCUUCCUCAUCCCUCCCACCCUCACCACGCCAGCUGAGAUCACUAGGCACGAGGCUUGGACCAAGAGUGCAGGUCACAGUUUGGGGUUUCAUUAAUUAUUAUGGAGCAGCACGUGUGCACUGAGCAGGCCCUGCACGUUGUGUGAUUGAAAGAAAAAUGAAAAAGAUAGCACCCUGCACCUAGCCUCUCCAAUGAUGAACGCUUUAACAUCCGUCUACCUACUAGUAACAUUUGUUACAGUGAAAGUCUGCAAUUCAUUCAGGUUUGUAAAAUCUUUUUACCCAGUGUCUUUUUUUUCCCCUCUGUUUGAGAAUCCCAUUUAGCAGUCCACAUCACAUUUUGUUGUGACGUCCUUUAGGCUCCUCACGGCUGUGACGGUUUCUCAGACGUGCUUUCUUUUCGGUGAAGUGACAGUUCUGAGGGAUGGCUGUGACGUUUUUUCUGUAGGCUGCUCCGUUAUUGGCAGAACUGGCCGGCUGUUUUUGUUGCAGCUAGGUGGGGGUGAUGGGUUUUGAGGAGGAAGCUCUCAGCAGUAAAGUGCCAUUUUUAUCAUAUCACAUCAAGAGUGCACUCUGUCAACAGGAUCUUUCGCUGCUGAUGUUGACCUUGAUCACCGGGCUCAGGCAGUGCUCGCCAGGUUUCUCCGCUGUGAUGCCACGCUUCUCCCCGCCCUGCCCUCCUCGACAUCGUGCUCUUGGAGAGGAAGUAGUCCUGCUUGCUCUCAGCCAAGUCCAACUCUUUGGCCACCCCAGGGACUGUAGCCCGCCGGGCUCCGCUGUCCAUGGGAUUUUCCCAGGCAAGAAUGCUGGAGUGGGUUACCAUUUCCUCCUCCAGGGGAUCUCCCCGACCCAGGGACUGCACCCGUGUUUCAGCGUCUCCGGCAUUGGCAGGUGGAUUCUUUAACCGCUGAGCCACCUGGGAAGAAAGGGAAGAAGGAAGUCACUCUGUUAGCCUCCACCCAAGGAGUAGGCAGUUACUCUCUGCUGUACAAGUGACUCAGAGUUCUUCUGCCCACAUCUGUCUAUUCUCUUUUACAUAUCGGUUUAUUCAGUCAUUUCAGCAUGGACUCCUGGCUAUUUAUUUCAUUUAUACUUUGAGUUAUAAUUCAAUACGAAUUAAUUUUAUUAUUCAAAUUGUUGCAGCUUUGGCCAGUGGGAGUUCUUUGGGUUGGUUCCCUUGCUCAUUGCUGUACCCCCCUCAGUGUAGGUUUUUUUUCCUUCUCUUUCUUUCUUUCUUUGAGCAUUUGCUGACUUCCAGUGCCACAAAUGUGCGAGGCUCGUUUUGUGUAUUUCUUGCUCCAAACUUAGACUCAGUCAUUUCUCCGUGGAGCCCUUGUUCCUCUCUGGAGUGUGGUGUUAGAAACUAAGAUGCCACCAGGGAAGUCCCAUCUGGGUGCCGUGCAUGCCCGCUGCUAGUGGGUGGCAUUUUUUUAGGCCUUCUCAAAAGUAACAGGAAAAAAAAAAGUAUUGAGUUGGCCAAAAAGUUCGUUUGGGUUUUUCAUACCAGCUUACAGGAAAAUACAAAUGAACUUUUUGACCAACUCAAUAUACGUGUGAAUAUGUGUCUAUUUACUAAUUCAUGUAUAUGAUUUUAUCUACAAAUAUUUCUAUGUGUGACCAGCUGUAUCUAUAUUUCAGUAGACAUGAGUUCAUACUGAUAUCUCCAGAAUCCAGUGUGGUUUACAAUGUGAUUUGAAAUAGUGAUGAGUCACUAUAUUGAUAACGAUAAUAAUCAGUGCCAUUUACUUUGUGCUUUCUAUGUGCGACUUACUUUCUAAGUGUUUAAUGAGCAUUAUCUCCUUUAAGCUACUUGUCAGCCCCAGGCCCUAGUUAUUCCCCUCAACCUCAUUUAACCAGCGAGAUAUUAGAGGCACAGACAAGUCAGGAUCUUGCUGAAAGUCUCCCACGUAGUAAGUGACGGACUUGGUGUCAAACCCUGGUUCAGUCGCGUCAGACAUAAAGGCCAUCCACAUCUUCCGUUAAAGAGGGUUUAUAUAAAGCCAAAAAGAAAGGAAGAGACAUUGUCUUACCCUUUUGACUGGUUGAUAUAGUAUUAUAUUUCAAAGACAUUUCACGUCAAUAUCAUGACUUCCUUUGAAGCCAAUACAGUGUUUUGGGUCUCAGACUUUUUCUGCAUGAAGCUCUGCUGUCUCAGGCACAUUCACCCAGUCGCCCUGCUGGGCCG
ensembl:lncRNA